GUACCGAGACGUUAGAGGUGAAAUUCUUGGAUCGUCUCGAGACGAACUGACGCGAAAGCAUUUGCCAAGUACGUUCUCGUAUGAUCAAGAACGAAAGUUAGAGGUUCGAAGGCGAUCAGAUACCGCCCUAGUUCUAACUGUAAACGAUGCCAGCUAGCGAUCCGCCGGCGUUUCAUUAACGACCCGGCGGGCAGCUUCCGGGAAACCGAAGCUUUUCGGUUCCGGGGGAAGUAUGAUUGCAAAGUUGAAACUUAAAGGAAUUGACGGAAGGGCACCACCAGGAGUGGAGCCUGCGGCUUAAUUUGACUCAACACGGGAAACCUCACCAGGCCCGGACACCGGAAAGAUUGACAGAUUGAGAGCUCUUUCUUGAUUCGGUGGGUGGUGGUGCAUGGCCGUUCUUAGUUGGUGGAGCGAUCUGUCUGGUUAAUUCCGAUAACGAACGAGACUCUGUCCUGCUAACUAGGCGGGUAAACCCGGGUCGGCGUGUGCGCGGCGCUGGCGGUUUCGGCCGUCAGUGUAUCAAGUUUCAUAAUAGGUCAAUUCACUCUAAUUGUUAAGCUAACGGCAUAAAACGUGAACUGCUGAGCGUAAAUUUGCUAUGUUACGCGUCUAUGUACAACAUAGCAAAA
rnacentral:ncRNA from 1 species